rnacentral:rRNA from 1 species
AUACGGAGGGGGUUAGCGUUGUUCGGAAUUACUGGGCGUAAAGCGCACGUAGGCGGAUUGGAAAGUUGGGGGUGAAAUCCCAGGGCUCAACCCUGGAACUGCCUCCAAAACUAACAGUCUAGAGUUCGAGAGAGGUGAGUGGAAUUCCAAGUGUAGAGGUGAAAUUCGUAGAUAUUUGGAGGAACACCAGUGGCGAAGGCGGCUCACUGGCUCGAUACUGACGCUGAGGUGCGAAAGCGUGGGGAGCAAACAGGAUUAGAAACCCCUGUAGUCC